AACAAUUGGGUUUGGACUGUCCUUAUUUUUCAAUGAGCAAUUUUUAUUAUUAUUAUGAAAACUAAUCCUUUUGAUAUUUAUGCAAACUAAGAGAAUAUAUAAACUUUUAGCAUUUCAUAAAGGCAUUUUUUAUGUGUUAAUAGAUGUCAUCAUUUUUUUAAUUUAUAUAACUCAUGGUACAUUUUGGCACAAGAUUAAUAUAUCUACGAAUAUCCUAAAUUGUUGAAAUCACCAC
rnacentral:lncRNA from 1 species